GAUGGGUUUCUCACAUGGUCAAUCUGUGGUUGAUCACAUGAUGAACAAGUGUGGGCCUGAUCUCAUCCGAGAUGGCUCUCCUCCCCCUCCUCCUCAUCCCCUGUCUGUCCUUCCUUCUCCCCUUGCUCUUUGUCUAUUGUUGGCAUUCAUUGUUUAAAACAGGUAACCUGACCUUUGACCUAUGUGUAGGCCAAUGCUACAGCAUGAUUGGUUAGUGUUCAGUUACACAUAAGGUGUUUGCACAUGUGAGGAGUGUGCCCUGGUAAAUAAGUGUAACAUUUUGAUUGGUUGUGUUUGGAAAAGGAAAGCAAGUCACUUCCUGUUAGAUUUUUGAGUCUGAGGUGGAGAAUUGUGUGUAGUGUUUUGAAAAAAGUGUUUUAUGCAAUUGAAAACUGAGAGAAAGGCUGAGAAAUAGCUUAUGGUUUUGGAGA